CUACACGGCACACACCUUUGGGACAAUCUGCGUGACGCAUCAUGCCUUCUCUGCUUCAACUGGAGGCACAUUUGACAAAUGAUUGGAGGAUGUCCUUUUUGGUGCCGCAUUCCCAUCACACUCUUGCCCUUGAUCAACUACACGAAGCAGACAAUAGCACUGAUCAUUUUCCCCCGGCAAGGAAGCUCAGCAUGGAUCAGCUCAAUAACCUGAUAUUCUCUGUCUACUCAAUGUGGACAAUUUAGCACCAGGUCAGCACCUUUCGCUCUCUUUUUAAAUCUCAAACAAUUUGGUGACCUCCCACCUAACCACUGACAGGUCCAAAGGAGACGAAACACAAUUGUAGCACAAGCAAAAGUGCUUGUGAUGUGACGGUGUGUUUAGGUCUGAAUUUCUCAAGGUGAUACCUGGUGUGCGACAAGGAGGGAUUGGGGGGUGCUAUUAUGCAAACUCGAUAUCCAGCAUGCUUGCAGAUUACAUUUUUCAUGUAUUUCCAGUCUUCGGUUACCGCCAUACAUGCAUGUCCGGGUGUGGAUGUUUGAAUUGCUGUGGUUACAAAUCAUUUCCCAUCAUUCUGUUACGUGGCAAGGUGCCAUUCAGCUUCAAAUUAAACACUCGUUGCAGCCGGGGGAAUUAUGUCCCGGACUACUCCAUUUUCAGGGAUGGAAUUCAAAUCGGAUCACUCUUUAUUGUGGAAUUUCUUCCCCGCUGUUUUGAAUUUACUGUUAUCUUCAUCCAGCUGUGAAAAUUGAAUCGACAACAAUGUGGCCGCCACCCUCACAUAGUCCACAUGUCCAUUGUGUCUGUCUAAUUUUACUGACGAGACAAUUGCAUAAGAUGAUGUCGAGAAGCGACCAUAUAGUUUCCUCUGCUAUGCAAAAUAACUCUCCUUCAUUGCUCACCUCAAGGUCAAACCUGACAGCCGUGCUUCAACUUCCUUGAAUUGAGUCAGAACUGAGCAGUUUGCUCUCGAUGUUGCCUUUGGUGACAAGAGCAGGCCGUUAGCGUUAUUCAUCCUGUUGGAAGACAAUUUCAGAUAUGACGGGAGACGUUUGUGUCUCUGGAAAUGUACAUUAAAUGGUGUCAACAACAUCCUCUGAGGUCACGGCAGAGUCCCCCUGCGGUGAGUGCGAGCUGGUGAGAAUCUACACUGACGUGUGAUGGCUCUGUGGCAGCUUUGACACAGACUGUAAUCUGUGCUGGACUUUGGCUCUGAUUACACGUCUCAGGGAGCAAAACAGGGACUGCCAGCACUGGGCUCAUCCCAGGCUUUUCAGCCUUCAAGAGGACUCAAGUCCGCUUCGAAGGUGAGCUCAAUUUUCGUCCCAUUUAUACCUUUGUAACGAAUGUCAGAUGGAAUGCAUCUGGCAGACGGUCAUCAAAC